AAUGCCUAGGAAUCUGCCUGGUAGUGGGGGACAACGUUUCGAAAGGAACGCUAAUACCGCAUACGUCCUACGGGAGAAAGCAGGGGACCUUCGGGCCUUGCGCUAUCAGAUGAGCCUAGGUCGGAUUAGCUAGUUGGUGAGGUAAUGGCUCACCAAGGCGACGAUCCGUAACUGGUCUGAGAGGAUGAUCAGUCACACUGGAACUGAGACACGGUCCAGACUCCUACGGGGGGCAGCAGUGGGGAAUAUUGGACAAUGGGCGAAAGCCUGAUCCAGCCAUGCCGCGUGUGUGAAGAAGGUCUUCGGAUUGUAAAGCACUUUAAGUUGGGAGGAAGGGCAGUAAGCGAAUACCUUGCUGUUUUGACGUUACCAACAGAAUAAGCACCGGCUAACUCUGUGCCAGCAGCCGCGGUAAUACAGAGGGUGCAAGCGUUAAUCGGAAUUACUGGGCGUAAAGCGCGCGUAGGUGGUUCGUUAAGUUGGAUGUGAAAUCCCCGGGCUCAACCUGGGAACUGCAUCCAAAACUGGCGAGCUAGAGUAGGGCAGAGGGUGGUGGAAUUUCCUGUGUAGCGGUGAAAUGCGUAGAUAUAGGAAGG
rnacentral:rRNA from 1 species